UCGCGCCCUGCAGCAUCUUGUAUUGGAACAGCAUUUGGAACAGGUGCAGGUGAAGGGGCUACAUGGAAUGUACUGGCAAACUGGGUGGCAGAAUCAUUUGAAGUAGCCUGAGAAACAGGGUCAGGAGUUCUGACAGGAGGUGCGGUUGAAUCCUGGCUGUCCACCGGAGUAGCAGGUGGUGGAUGUGAAUCAGAGGGCUUUACUUGCUGUUCUACCAUGAUCGGGUAACAGAUUUAAUAAACCUCUUUGAAGCACUAGUAAAAUUUGCAAAAUCAUUAUAUACAGAUAUAAAACAUGCAGUUUGACCAGCAAUCAUUCAGACAAAUGAUGAUUAAAAAGAUUAAUUUGUGCCUAAUUGCAAUAACUCCUGGUUACAGAGAAUAUGAGUGCACACUUCAGUUUCUACGCUAUUUACUAACGUGCAACACCUGAUUUGUCAACUAAAACAAAAAAAAAAAGCAAAUUAGUGUGUCAUGCUUCUAAGAGUAAAACAAAAUUGAAAAGGAUGAAUUUACAGUGAGAUAUGGUCAUUAUUCAUUGUAUACAAUUAAAAGUAUACCCUUGCACAAUAGAAUAUCUCCUAGACGAUAGAUAUCUUUAGCUAUGUGUUGUUGAUAUACCAUCCAUGAGUAUUCUCUAUUGAAAAAAAGGCUGUCUAAGACGGUUUAUCCAAUAAAACUUUCUUCACAAAACAUAAGCCUAAUGUACCAUUGAUACACUGCCCAACAGAAUCUGAUUCUCCUUAUUGGCAGCUUCAUCAGUAUUCUUCCAAUCAUUUAGUUUUUGUAGGGACCUUUUAGCAUCAUAAACACCAUAAACUUUAUAAUACCACACCAUCCUUGAUACAUCAUCCUGCGGUGAAUUUAUCUCCUUCCUUUUGAUUGUCUUAUGAAGUUCACAGAAGAAUUUUGGAUCUUGCAGUUUAAUAUACUCACGCAAUACAAGCUCGUGGUGAGGCACCCAGUUUCUAGGGAAAGGUGUGUAGUCACACGAUGGAAUUGAUGACAUGCGUGCAAAUUGUACACCCUCAAUAAUAUCAACUAGUCCCAUUCUCAAGAGAUCAGAGUAUUCUGGUGCAUCAUUCCUUGUGCUCUCUCUCAAUGGGCGGCUAAGGUCACGUGAGGCAAUCUUGUAAACUUUAGCUCGAGACUUGAGUCUAUACCUUGCCGCAUAAAGCUUUGCCAAGGAACUCCUAAUGACAUAUGCACAGAACCCUACAAUCUUCUUCCGGUUGUCUGCAUAUCUGUACCAAUCAGCCAUGGUCUCAAGAAAUUUGUUCAUCUGAGAGUUAGUGUGCGCCUGCCCAGAGUACAGCAUUGGUGAACAUGGCAAUGGCUCAGGAUCCCGAUCCCCCUUUACAAGUUCAAGCUUCCUGAAAUGCCUUAUGCACCUCUGAAGGCUUGCUGUUACUGAUAAUAAUGUCCCAAUACCUUUCUCACUCACAAUGUUCCCUCCACUAGCGGUAUAUCUUAAGGUUGGGUAGAUGACCCGGCGGGUGAUCACAUGAUCCAAGAACUCAAUCCCUCUUGUGAUGUGCUCAAUCUCUACCAUCGAAUUCUCAGGCCUCAAACCAAACGUGCUCUCGCAGAACUCCAUCAGUUGUCUCCUUAUCUCAACUGCGUCCUCCCUUGGUCCCCUGAUCCCAAUAAGAACAUGGGAGCCAAAUCUAAGGUAAUCCAUCUUCCUUGUCUUCUCCUUCCCACUUGAUGGGACAAACUCAGGCCAGGCAGGAUUAUGGCAUCCUUCAUCACCCGCCUCCUUCCAAAUCGAAUCAUGGCUUGACGGGCGGAAGUACUCAUGAAUUCUCUCCUCGAGCCACCAAUCCAGUUCGUUAAGGCACACAUUGGCAAGCAAAGGGCUAAGUAUCCCACAAUGCCCAUAAUUCGGUGCAUGGCACGCCUGUUCUGGGGCAAACCCGAAGAAUAACCUCAACCAAUACGGAUCAGGCUUGGGCUCGUUCUCAUUGAGCACCUUCUUCUUCCUGCUUUUCCUGAGAACCUUCCUCUUCAGCCUCUUCUUAGCUAGGCCAUCAAGCUCCUUCUCCCGUGGUGGCACAGACCCAGGCCGGACAGGGGCAUUGAGCGCCGACUUCAGCAAAGAUAAGACCUUGCGGUCAGAGACGGCCUUCUGGACGCAGGAGAGUAUGGUAUAAGGCGAGAGUGCGUCGACCACCCCGGUGAGGUCCGCGGAGAUGAACCAGAGGUAGGCGGCGAAGUGGGAGCGGACGGAGCGGAUGGCGGUGUGGGGCCCGCGGCCGGGGCGGAAGGCGUGGGACUUCGGAGAGAAACGGGGCUCGAAGACGGGCUCGAGGAGCAGGAGGAGGAGCUCCUGGACGACGCGGUCCUGGAACGGGGGCGGCGCGUUGGCGAGGCGGGCUUCGAGCUUGCGGCGGGAGAUGGUGACGGUGGAAGGGGGGUCGGCCGGGGAGCGGAUGAGGAGGUGCGUGGAGGCGCCCCAGGGGAAGGCGGGGUGGCGGCGGAGGGCGGCGGCGCGGAGGCGGAGGAGGGAGUGGAGGGUGGGGAGCUGGACGGCGUGGCGUGGCGGGAAGGAGCCCGUGGCGUGGGCGCAGGCUCGCUGGUAAGAGAGGAGCCAGAGAUCGAGGCGGGAGGCGUACCCGGAGAGGUUGGGGAAGGGCGCCGGGAGCGGGUGAGCGAAGGCGCGGCGCCACAGAGAGGAAAGGAGAUCGAUGGGGUCGUGGACAAGGAGAGCGUAGGGGUCCGGGAAGGGCCCCUCGUCGGCCGCCGAUGGCGGCGGCGGCGGGGCGCGGCGGCUGACGGGUUGGAGGUGGCUAGGGAUGAGGCGGCGGAGCGCCCCGCGUGCCGUCAUCGCGGGCUCGCGGCUGGGGUUUCCGUCGAACAGGUGGUGGGCGCUUAGCGGGGAAUUUUUGUUUUCCCCCACGGUGGAUAUCAGCAGCAAUUUCUGAAUUUCCUUUCCUACGUAACGUGAGUUAAGCGUAGCUGCUUGAGUGGGCGGGUUAAGUGUAGUAGUACGGGUGGGCAUUUGGUUAGACCGAGAAAUUCAGUUCGGUUUCUCGAUCUUUUUAAAAAUUCGAUCUUUAGAAUCUCAAAACUGAUCUCGGUCUCCAACAAAACUUAAGACCGAGCAAUUCGGUCUUCGGUUAGUUCGGUUCGGUCUCGGUUAUAGACCUAACUAACCAUAACAAAAGUUUGAACAACAAAAAAACAAAUUAAAUAAUCAGUAAGAUCGAUGAAUCAAGCAAUUAGGCCGCAGAUGACACACUACAAAUUGGUGUCACUAGCAAAUCGAGCACGAUUUAGAAAAAAAAAAGCAAAUCGAGCCGAUUUAGAAAAAAAAAAGCAAAUUGAUACUGUCAAUCUGCCAUGACUUAAAUCCAUUGACUUGAAUCUGCAAUCUACUCAUGGCUGUCCUCUUCCCAUCACCGAGCUCAUAGCUCACAGCGAAUCGGCGAUGGAGGUUGGCUGGAGGCGGACCCUACUUGCAAGGUCUCUCAAACCAUUGGGGGAAAAGUGUAGUUCUACAAAAUUGGUAGUCCUUAUUUAAAGAAGUGCAAUUUUGUACCAAUUUUGGCAAUAUAAGUGAAUGCUUGCACAAAGAUUUAUUAACACAUAAUCUUGCUCCUCAAGUUCAGGUAGGAAUUGCAAGUGCAAAUCAAAAUGUACUGCAUAUGCAUACCAGAGCAGGAAUUUGGGCAACUCAAAGUGCUUGCAGGUUUGCAAACACACAAAAACCAUCCCACCAUCUAGGCAUUCGUUCUCCGGAUCCACAGUUACAUAGGAGUACCAAAUUGAAUGGAAAUAAAACAACAUCAUCUGUGUAGUGUGUAGGUGCUGUCUAGCCUUUAAAUUUUUCCUACCCUAUUCAAUGAAACAACGCAUUUUCUGGUGCAUUCGUUCAAAGAAAAACAUCUCCCAAGAAUCUCCCAAGUAAUUCCUUUCAAGACACAUUACAAGAAUCGACAAAAUUUCUGAAAUACUCCCAAGAUCAUGUAUUCAUGUUACUUCCACUCAUCUUGCACUGAAUUUACAUGAUGAAAGAAAGCGAGACGAGAACAAAUUGCAGAGAAGAAGCACAAUUGUUAUGCCUGCAAAUUUACAGGAUGCAAACGAGAAAACAAAUCGGAGCAUUUCACCAAAUUAAUACCACGAAUUAUAUGAUUAUGCAAGCGCUAAACCUGAUUAGAGAUGCAAUUGGAAGAACCGUGCGAGCCGUUGUCUCCUACUGCCGCCGCCGCCGUUGUCGUCGUCUCUACUGCUGCUGGCGCGGUGGCGGACCGUUGGCAUGGCCGUCGAGCUUGGCCCUGAGCUCCUUGGCGCCCUGGCGAACUCUGGCAACUCGGCCUCCCCGACCUCGCCCACGUCGACGUCCCACCAGAACCGCCCCUCGGCCUUCGCCUGCAAGAUCUUCGCCGUGAUGCCGCGCAUCCGCGCCUUCUCCGCCGCGACCUCCGCCCUGGUCUCCCCCACCGCCUACCUCAGCAUCUCGAGGUCGACGUCCUUGCCUAACCCGCCGCUGUGGACGGGUGCGGGCUCAGCAUCCUCCCCGGGGACGGGGCCGUAGGAGAGGAGGACGGCGUCGACGGAUGGGUCACCGAAGGCGUAGGCAAGGUUGGUCUCGGAGAAGACGACGACGGCGAUGCUCGCGCCGGCGAGCAGGGCGAGCUCCGACGCCUUCUUGAACAGCCCGCCCCGCCGCUUGGUGAAGGUGACCUGCCGCCUUUCCUUGUUGUCGAUGUGCUGCCUCCCCUUACUAGUCCUCCCGAGCGGACGCAUCGUCCUCGUCGAUCAAGAGACGCGGAUGAGGGCGACGGCGGCUCUGCUUCUUGGUUUCUUGGGUGCUCUGGUUCUUGCAAGUGCUGCUUCUCCAAAAUGAAAAACAAUGCGAUGAUAUCCCACUACAAAAUGGAGAUCGAAAUUUUGGGGGCUUCGGUUGCCCACAUUUCCUAAAUAUUGAGGUGGGAUAAACGGGGAAGUGUGCUAGAAGAAUAUGUGCGGAGAAAAUAAAAAAAAUUCACUAAAUCGCAAUUGGAACUGGGAAAAUUGUUAGAAGAAUAGGUGUGGAGAAAUUUUUUGUUAAGUAAAUGAAAAUUGUCAAAAGAAUGCUACAUACAUGUAUAUAUUUGUUAAGUGAAGAUGUUUAAUAAGGCCUAAAGAUUACACGGAGAAGACAUAAAAAUCCGAGAAAUGAAUCAAAGGGGAAAACAAAGAAUAAUCAAUCACAAAUCAAGUUUACAAUACAAAGAUAGCAUGUCUCAUGCCCACAUCGUGUCUUUACGUCGCAUCCUAAUCAGUGUUUAAUUUGGUAAAAUUGGCUAUGACAUGCCCUUUUGGUCUUGUUUUGCAUGCAUUAGACAACUUCAUACACCAAAGCAAACAUUUUAAAUUCAUGUACUAAAAAGCAUUCACCUAACAAGUUUGUACAUCAUCAAUACAAUCUACUCAAAAUUAGAAUUUCAUUUUUCUAGUUGCACUCUCAUGGAUCAUUCAAAAUUAGAAUUUCAUUUUUCCAGUUGCACUCUCAUGGAUCAUUGACAAGUGAUGGAUCCACCGGUGGGUCGUAGAGACAGCUAUUAUUCUUAGACUAUUACUAUAGCCCUCAUUUCAAAUAUAAGUCAUCUUAGUGUUAUAUACAGGAUUAAGAAAAAAAUAUACAAUAAUCAUAGAAAUAAGUUUAAAUUCCCUAGGAUCACAAUUCGCGUGUUUCGCCAGGGGUUUUUUUUUUCCAGACGCACACAUGUUCGUGUAUCCUGAGUUCUACCAUCUAAAACCAUCUAAAAAAACAAUGCCUCACUUGUACCAAGGCCGUGUUUAGAUGCUGUAAAAAUUUAGCCAAAUUUUUUUUUACGUACACGGGCACAUAUUUAAAAUAUUAAAAUAUUAAACAUAGACCAAUAACAAAACAAAUUACAGAUUCCGACUGUAAACUACGAAUUUUUAAGUCUAAUUAAUUCGUCAUUAGCACAUGUGUUAUUAUAGCACUUAUGACUAAUCAUGACAUAAUUAGGCUCAAAAGAUUCAUCUCGCGCGAUUUACAGUCGGACUGUGCAUUUAGUUUUUCUUUUUGUCCACAUUUGAUGCUCCAUAUAUGUGUCCAAGCAUUUGAUGUGACAGAAAAGUUGUAAGUUUGAAGAAAAAAGUUAGAAUCUAAACACAGCUCAAGUACCCUUUCGCAAUAAUCAAUCCGUUUCGUAAGAAUCCAUGUAUAGAAUCUCUGUAAACAAAUAAGCGAAGUAUCAACAAAGUUCUGACAUUUUUGGAGUUACAAAGUUCACCAUUGUACAACAUUACAGCUUGAAAAAGGGCUACAAUGAAACAUAAAACGGUAGAACAAAGCAAUUCUUUUCAUCUUUUCUACCUGUUGCUUCCAGGUGGUAUCCUAUCAUGAUCUGGAAAGCACCAAACUAUACAAUGGCGAACCAGGCGCCCACAAAAGGGUGUGAAUUAUUCGCUUUCAUAGUCGUCUUCAUCUCCGAACGAGAAGACCGAAGCGUCUGCAGCAAUUGCCUUGAACUCGCUCAUGCUGGAGUCAGCAGCCGCUGGGGGUGGUGGUGGUGCUGUGGUGGAGCUGCUCUUGCUGCUAACUCCACUUUUGAGAGGUGCAGCAUCAGGUGUCCUUGCACUUCCUUGUUCGCUGGUUAUUGAUACUUUUUCAAUUCUGGAAGCAGCAGCAGACGCCUCCUUUUGCACAGAGCUUGUUUCAGACGCUUUUGCAGCAUUAGUAGUACCCUCAACGUUCCUAGAGACCUUCUCCCUUCUGCCCUUGGAUGAUCCAUCUUCUGCUUCACUGUCAGAGAAGACGUCAUCCUUAUCAUUCCUUGCAGAUUCCUUGUUGGACACUUCUGCAGAUGAAGCAUUAUUUCCUUUUGCAACAGUUCCAGUCGAGGAAUCAGCUUCAGACUUCUGAUCAGUAGAUGCGGCAGCUGGUUUUGGUUUUGGUGGUUGUGAACCAUCAUAGUCUACCAGGACAACCUCAACCUGGAAUCCAGGUGAUGGUAAUUUCCUCUGGAUGACAUACAGUUAGUGUUAGUAUGUAUAAAUAAAAAAGAACUAUGAAUGAAAGCGAAAACUCAGUAACAAUAACUCAUUGUUGGUAGAAUUUCUUUUUCCCCUUCAACAACUGCUAAUAAAUUGUUGCAAUUCAGAAAGACAGAAAAAAAUGACUUUAAUAUGACAUAGCUCAACUAGAAGCGAAAAUUGUUAGCACGACAACACAUGGUUCAAAUAAUGAAAGGGUAGAAGCAGAAGCAUAUUCCAAAUAAGGCCACUCCCGAUCAUAAAGAACGGAUUCAGGGAACACGUAUCUGAUAUUCUGAUCUCAUCUCAGAAAAGUGAUGUACAAUCAUGCAUCAUGGUGCUACGAAACUACAAAUAUUACCGUGUGGAUUUAAAGAGUUCCAUAUUCAAAUAUCUAUGUUAUAUCAAAAAGAGAACCUUGACAAAUGAUAUGUUCAAUCUGUCAGAAUAGUUAUAUAGUCAAUCAACAUCCUACCAUAUUAAUGAUCAAAAUUCUGAAAUAUCUACUGCACAAUCCCAUAUAGUCAAUCAACAUCCUAACAUAUUAAUGGUCAAAAUUGUGAAAGAUCUACUGCACAAUCCCAUAGCAACCUACAAUCGACGAACAAACAGGAAAAACAAUCUACCUAAGGAUUAAUAUCAUUAUAGAGAAAAUUAUACGACCCUUCCUCUAUAACAUAUAGACUCAAACUUUAAAUUCGCAUUAGCACUCAAUGCAUACUUUCUGGUUGCCAUCCUUGUUUAACUCAAAACAUUUCAUCAUUCAUGUUAAAUAUUUGCAUCAUUGUACUCAGACAACACAAACAUAGUGACCAACUGACCAUCAUACUGUGAUGUACAUCAAGGAAACAUAUCUGCCAUGGGCAACAAUAGACUAAUAUUUAUUGAAUAUCAAUUUGUUCAACAAGGCUGAGGCCGCAUGGCUUGAUAAGGGCCUCAUGUGCUCUAUAUGUGUGAAACAUCAUAUAGACUGCAAGAAAGAAUUUUGGCGAAAGAGCACUUAUGUAUGUAUUUGGCCCAAAGGGAUUUUAGGGUCCUUUCGGGCCCCAUGACUUCCCUACAGCUUUCCGUCUCUCUUUAAGUUGCAAUUGUCAUAUCUCUACAGUAGAUGUUAGAACAGCUUUCAUGUGACUAACAGUUCAACACUGAAAUCUAUUUGUAUGCACUAUUCUGACUAGCCUUGCCUGCAAUUGCUUGAAAAACAAGGCCACAGGUGUUUGAUUUGAACUUAAAAUGCUUGGCAAUGUUAACAUAUGAAAAUUUGGUAGAUUUGAUCAAGAUUUGGCAAUAACUUGGUUUAUGACCAAAGUUUGAAGGGGUCAAUUGGAUCCCUAGUCCAUUUUUUAUAAUCAAACUUAUUUUAUAGAUAGAUGGGCUUUGUAGCGUGCCUAGUGGAAAUAGCUUGAUAGAGGUUUUGACAAGCAUAUUCAUAAAAUAGCUUCAAAAAUGAAGCGACAAUUACCUUGUCAAAAUCAUCAAGAUCAGUUGGAUUCAAAGUCACCCUGUUCUCCAUCAUUGUUGUAUUUAACCAGCUGAAGGAAACAGGUUAACAAAUGGAACUUAGAAUUAAGCCAAUUAUUUAUUUAGUUUCAAUAUAAAAUUUUGAUACUAUCCAAUCUAAGUUAGAUCUAAACAUACAUAUAUGCAACGAAAACAUUGUUCCAGUAACAAGAAAAUGAAACCAUUAAACACGAGAAAAACAUAUACUUCGUUCAAGGAAAUUAUACUAUCAUAAAGAACUGGAGCUCACCAGUAGAAAUCCCCCUGUCGAUCAUGAAACUGAAUCUUGAAGUCACCAGCUACCUCUGUUAAUCCAGGCUCUCCAGGCAACGCAAAAACCAUGAUCCCUUUCUUUGGUGCACUAAACCAGAAAUCUUCUGGCUGAAAAUAAAUAGUAAAGUUAGUUCCCAAUGGAGCUCACAAAGUAAUAGCCUUCACAGAUUAAUCACAACCAACAAACAAACAGGCCACUGAUGGUCAAAGAUCCAUAGUGUUAGAAAGCUUCGAUAGAUCAUACCAUAGCUACAGCUAUGGUAAUAUGAAGUGAGGUGGCAGAACUAAGGGUUAAUCGGUCAUGUGGGCCAGGCUGGUGAAAGUAAAUGGAGUGGUCUUUACUCUAGUAAGGUUGAGAGGGUACAAAAGCCAACUACUGUGUAACAAGAGGGUAGAAAUGAAACAGAGAUAGUGCUAGUUCUCCCCAUCUGGGCUCUGUUUCCAGUCUCCUCCCUUCACUCGAUCCCCAAUUUCCUUGUGUAAGCUAAUGCAUUGCCUAUUCCUUUGAUCUAUGUAAGCUUAUUCAGGAUAUAACACACAUGUAGCAGGAAACAAGUGGGCUAGACUGUCUUAUAUGAUUAUGGAACCUUGUUUUACAGGAAACAGCAAGAACACUACUAUAAUAUAUGAAAGAAAGCUGGAAAAAUUGAAAUAACAAAAAUAAUAAGUAUAGAGAAAACAAAAUAGGAUGCUCAAACAGUAACAUUCACAAAACCCACAGACCACAUUUCAUGUUAUACAUUCACUAGAUUCCUAAAGUAUGUUCAUUUGUCAUCAUGAGAUGCAUAAAUAAUGUAACCCCUGCGACAAGUGAAACUAAGCUAUUUCUCGAAUAGGAUAUACUGCCAACUCUAAAAGAUAAUUCCUUACUUAGCAUUAAUACCUAAAAGCUUCUGUCAAAAUUUGGAUGAUAUCAUUAGGUAUUACAUAAACUUAACCAAAUGAAGGAAAACGUGCAGAACUGAGCAGAAGCUAUUGAAAAAAAAAAAGACAUGGGUAGGUUACACGGUCAGAAGGCAUACCAUCAGCUCCUUUGUUCUAGGGUGCUUCUUAGUUGUGAAAAGAACACCUAAACAACAAAGUUAUUACUCAGUGUAUGAGAAAAACUUCAAACCACAGCAACAGUCAUUUAACUAAACUAUGGUACCAUGAUUUUUUUUAACAACAAAAUCAAUUUCAAGCAAAUAGCAAAACAUACCAUUGUGAUUAGACACAGUGAUUGAUGGUCUAAUCCAAUAAGGGCAUCUAUGAAGGCGAAAUCCCCUGAGCAUGCACCUGCAAAAUAAAAUUGCAUAUUAAUAAGAUAUACAUGUAGCGCAUAUCCUCAUACUGAAACCAUGGUAGAACUAGAUGAAUACCUGCGUGGAGGCUGAUUUUCACCAUUGAAGUAAGUUAAGAUGCGCUCAAAAUAUUUCACAUAUCUCUGUAAUUUUGGAACACAUUCAGAACAACCACUGUUAAGUUGUAUGAAUAAAUUUGAAUAAUUUUGGAGUUACUUACAAUCUGACUUGGGAGAAUAAGCCCUUUUCCAUCUACACAUCUUUUCUGAUUGUAGUAUUCAAUGGACUCUUCCGCAGUUGGAAAGAACUGUCAAUUGUAUAAUACACAGGCUUCAAAUAUUAAGAAAAUUUGAUGAAGAUUCUCUUGGGCAAUGUAUCAUAAUUAUCAUUUAAUUUAAUGUGAAACCAAUUUUACCUUCAGGUAUAGUAGCAGACUGGAGAUCAUCAAUCCUGUCCUCGCCUUUCCAGCUUUGCAAUGAACAACCACUACAUUUUCUAUAUCUUCCUUCAACCAAGAGUAAGCACUAUGGCAGAACGAUAUGACAAGUUGUAUCGGAGGGCAAUUGUGAUCAUCAAAAGGGAAGCAUGCAACCUGAAACAUGGCUACUAAAUUUGACCACUAUGUGCAAUAUGCAAUUAAAUCGAUUAUUACACACCAUUUAAAAUACUGAUACAAAUGAAGGAAUAUUCAAUAUACCACCGGAUGAACUGCGGACAUUAAAAUUUUCGGCAAGUCUUUUUCUAGCCUUGAUAAGCUUGAGUGCUAGACUAGUCACUUGGAACUUAGAAAUAAAACAAGAUUUUGGAUGCCACCUAGCCUAGGUGACCUAGAUUAACGAUUACUCCAUCCUAAUCGUGUCCCACUCCUCUUCAAACUCUAAUGGUUGCUGCCGAGGUGAAUAACUGAACACGCAGCCAAGUCAAACAUGGCAAACAAUCUAGAUAGCUCAGCUAAGCUAUAGCUCAUCUUAGCAAAGAACCAAGCGUACCCUUUGUUGUAUUCCCAUUUUUGGUGGUUCAUACGUGUAUCACAUGGUAUGGAAAUGACAGAACAGAGGACCUAGACAAAAUUAUAAGCUUCCCAUACCUUUCCCUCAAAAAGAGAUGCAUCAUAUAGCCUUUCCGAGCAAAGGUUGUACACCUUAUACUUUCCCUGUAACACAAUAUGAUAAGGGGUUGAAAAACACAAAUAGAUUAUAUAACACCUCUAAAUAAUGCACCAAUCAAGUGAUUUUACUACAAUGAUAUUUCUUCAAAUGUAACAGAAAAAAUCACAUAUCAACAAUGUAAAUAACAUGUGUGCGGUAUGUGCAUCACAUAUAAAACCCUCAUGCCAAUGCAGAACAUGUACUAGUACCAAAAAAUUAUUGCCCCAUGCUCAUAAUCUUAUGAAAAAAUACAUCUAUAUAGACGAUGACAAAGUUAACCAGCAUAAUCAUCAAUGAUAGAAAAUAUUAGACUUCUUCAAUAGUUAUACUAAGUCAUGGUUUUAACACAGAAAAUAAUACCCUUUAUAUGUGAUGUUGAAGCUGAUUCAUUCCAUGAAAAGUCAAUUUAAACAUACUAAUAAGUCAAGGCAGCAUGAUCAAGGUAUCCAAGACCAUAAAGAUGCAUCAACAAGCAAAAGGAACCAGAUAUCUGUGAAAAAAAGUUAUAACAACGGCCUGAGAUGAGUUGUCAGGUGGCAUAUACAUCAACAAACUCAAGAGUGAGUCAAAGCUACCUUGUGGUGCAUUUCAAAGAACCUGAUGACUUCCUCCAUGUGGUUGCGGUAGAAGCCCUGCAAUAGAAGUAUUACCCUGUUUUUGUCUACAGAGAAACGAAAAGGUGCCAUAAGUAAUUUGUGUCUUGUCAUUAUACUGACCUCAAAAUAUCCAAAAAGCCCUGAGCUCAAAUCUCCAGCAGGGAAACCCAUAGCAAUGAUGUUCUCUGUAAUAUAUGUCAUAUCUAAAUCAAAGCCGCCUUCCUGUCACAGCAAUGAGAGAAUCAAAACAACUGUUAUCCCUGGUAUUAGGUCUACAAAAAAAGUAUACAAAUAAUAAGACCAUCUUGUUCACUGUUUGUCAUGUAAUUUCUCAAGGUGAUGGAAACAAUAAUCAAUUUUCAAGGAAGCUAAUACAUGGAAUCAAAUUGGAGACCAUUGCUGUGGUACAGAAGUUUGAAUCUUCUCUAGCAGUCUAAAUGCUUAUUGUCUUUGACAUUGUACCAAAGCAACACAGGCCCAUUGUUUUACUAUCACCCUGGGAAUAAUACAUGAUCAAUCGAUCACCAAGUUUUAUGGAAAUACAAAACUGCCAUCCACAUUUUGAUGAGAAGAUGAAUGUUGAAUAUGUACAUACUGCAGAGGACGAGGUAACAACUGCUAACACGGAUAUAUGCUGACAGAAUACAUAUAACAUGUAUAAAGGCUUUCCAAGACAAUGUUCUGAGAAGAUCUAAUAAGCCAUCAAUGUAGCAUCCUAAGGAGGAAUCUCUACUAUUAUAAAAAUUGAAGAUGUUUCCGCAGUCCGUCAUCCGUGUUUGAGUUGGUUAUAAAAAUUAAAGAUGUUUCUGUGGUUUGUCAUUCGUGUUUGAGUCAGUUUUAAUUUUAUGUUUUGGUUUUAAUCUAUAUCUCUUCUCUACUAUCAUAAAAAUUGAAGAAGUUUUUGCCGGUAUUUCGGUACGUCAUCCGUGUAUGAGCCGGUUUUUAAGUUUGUUUGCUUUUGGAAAUACAUACCUGUAGUUGAGUUGGUUUUUAAGAUCGUUCACUUUUGGUAAUACAGAAAGAAUCAUAUAAGAAAUCUGUUUAAAAAUUCGCAUGCUAACUUGAGACGAUCGGACUCCUAACUGCAGCUCAUGAUUUUAUAAAAAUAUAUAUAUCCAAGCAAACUCCCACAGUGAAUUUCAUCUUAACUAAACCAUAUAACAAUAAUAAGAUUAAAAUAGACUUCACCCGUUACAACACACGGGCAUUUUUUCUAGUAAAUAUAAAUUGAACAAUCUUCAUGAUGAAUGCUGGAAAAUUUGUUAUCAACCACACAACGCAACACAUGAAUGCACUAAUCAUGAAUAUUCUACAAUAAUCGGCUAGAGACUAAACUAUGAAGAAAUAAAAGUUCAAUCAAGCUUAAGAUAACAAGCAUAUAAAAUGCACCUGAUAUCGUCUUUUAUUCUGUGAGACCAUGUGGCGAGCCUUGACUUGCACUGCCUUAACAGCAUUCUUAGAGGAAUCCACGAUGCCUUUAGUAAAAGAGCCAAAAACGCCAGAUUGUGCUGUUGUUGGGGUUGUGCUGCCUUCAGCACUCUCAUCUUGCUGAGGACCUUUUGGAGACAAGCGCAACCCAAGGCCACUCGUGAGGCGAGAAAAUGUGUUCUUCCCCGUUGGUGAUUCUUGACCUGAAGAAGGCUGUGGUAUUUUCAGGUUUUUUGCCCAGGAGGAUAAGCCAGAUGUUGAAAAUAUGGAGGAUUGUGCCUCGCGUCCUGCAGCAUCUUGUAUUGGAACAGCAUUUGGAACAGGUGCAGGUGAAGGGGCUACAUGGACUGUACUGGCAAACUGGGUGGCAGAAUCAUUUGAAGUAGCCUGAGAAACAGGGUCAGGAGUUCUGACAGGAGGUGCAGUUGAAUCCUGGCUGUCCACCGGAGUAGCAGGUGGUGGAUGUGAAUCAGAGGGCUUUACUUGCUGUUCUUCCAUGAUUAGCCAACAGAUUUAAC
rnacentral:lncRNA from 1 species